CAAAUAAUGAUUAUUAUUAGACCAAAAUUCCUGGGAAGAGCAUUAGUGUUCAAGAGAAUCUCAUCCAAGACUGAGAUACCCCUAAACUUGUGUAGGCCAAGGGAUGCCCAACAAACAUAAGCAAACAGACAAUCCGAAAAUAGUCUCAUCAGCAUUUAGAGUACAAAUGGCACAAUUCUGAGAAGACAUGUAAAAAACUUUUCUAUGGAGGAGGCAUCUGGUGUUGAUUCUGUCAUGCAAGAGCAGCCAAAAAAAUAUUCUAUAUCUUGGCAUUGCCACACAUCUCCAGAUUUUCAAGAAGGCAGGGAAGCAGCAUUGUCCUGCUAUAAAAACUUGUACAUGUUAAUAGCAGUAAAAUCUUUUGAGUUCCAACUGUAAGUCCAGGUGUCUCUGAUCAGUAAUCGCCACAUUGCUCAACAACAAUUGCAUAUGGUUUAGUUGUUGAAAUGCCUGUAAGGAUAGAGGUGAAUGCGUUGUUCUUGCAAAAUGCACACGGCAAAAUUCAAUGGCCACAAUGCUUCUCUUCUCUAUCCAAUGCUGACAUGUGCUGAGUGUAUACUGCACCUUAUGAGCAUGGCUAAUAGUAAGGUGCUAUGUCAUCUAUAGUCAUUGAUAAAGUAGUGUUAACUAUUAGACUAUUUUCUUAAAGCUCACAGUGCUUUAAGAAAAGUAGCGUGCAUGACCUACUUUAUCAAUUGAGUAAGUUUCAGAAACUAAACCUUAAAGCUCACAGUGCCCUCAUACGGGAUCCAACUACUUUGUUGAUUGCGAUGCAAUAGGGCAGCUGGCACGGCUGGGCUGGUGCGAGCUUCCACAGCUUCGUGCCCGUGCGAAUUUUCGUUUUUGUGAGAAAUAGCUGCCGCUGUGUCAAACCAAAGGAGACAGUCUAGGAUGCCCAGAAGAUAUUUAUGGAUAGAAUAUUACACGUGUCUGGACUCAGUGCAAGAAUUUUCUUCAUUCUUUCAAUAAUUUUCUUCAGUGGAAGCAGGCAUCUUGGUUGGUCCACCACAACACAAUGUAGAGAGGGAGGUCCAACCAACGCAUAUGGAUAAGCACAAGCAAGCGCAAUGAGCCAUGCAUGCAUGUAUGUAGGCUGCGUGAAAGCUCUACUGCUCUUAACCGUGCAUGGGUUCUUAGAAAUAGCCAUUUCUCGGCCAGACGGGCAUUAUCAUUCAUUUUUUUUUCUUGAACCGGGCUUUACCCCCUUCCAUGGCAAGAGAACGGAAAUACAAACCAGUUCAAGUUGUCAGGAGGAGGGAAAGAGGGUAGAGCGAGUUCAAGCACUACCAGGAAACCCACCACAUUCGCUCGCCGUCGAAACGGAUGCCAUGGGGCGAAAACCUGGUAGCACCAACUUUGUCAUGUCUAUUACAAGCCAUAACCAACCGGGGAAAGCCGAGACAACACAAAACAAAUAGCGAACUAACGAUCUAAUCAGCAGAAAUGGGAAAGGGCGCCGCAGAGCUCUUUGACUGAAGACGUCUUUUAUCUUUGACAUGCAUGGAUCUUGGACGCCUAUGCUGAAGCACCCAUGCCCCUCACGAGCUUUGGAUCGGUUGCUUGGCAGCAUCGCACAGCCUCAUCAGUUAUCAUUCAUUGGUUGAUCGAUCUGGAAAACCACACUCCACAUUGGUUGCCGCACUAGCAUGUUUUGGGUACUUCGGUGCUGAUUAAUUGGAUGUAUAGAAUCGACGGGCACCUCACCAGUGGCGUCCAACCGAGGUAGGCCCGAGAAGUGGACGGCGGAUAGACAGCCUCUCUCCCAGCUCUAUAAAUCACGGGCACACCAAGCUUCCCUUCCAAAGCAGAACAAGCGCAGUCAGAGAGCAUAUGAACUCGAUGCACUUCGUUGAGUGAGAUCAUCACCAUGUCGUGCUGUGGAGGCAACUGCGAAUGCAGCAACGACUGCGGAGGGGCUCGAUGUGGGGGGGCGAUUCAUUGACUCAUUGUACGGACAUGAUGACAUCCACGGCCUGGAUUACUGGGCUAAGAAGUGCGCGGAUUAUUUGUCGUCAGACCCACCUGAUGUGAAGCUUGGCAUAGGUGGCUUUGGCAUGGGAGCGGCCGUUGCAUUAUAUUCUGCCCAAUGCUUUGCCAUGGGUAGAUUCGCUAAUGGGUUACCAUACCCGCCAAUCACCCUUGAUUUUGUGAUUGGGUUUAGCGGCUGGCUUCCCUUCUCAGGGUCUGAAUCCUUAAUAUUCUGGAGGAAAAUAAAUACUAGUGAUUUACUCAUGACAUGUGCGUAGUAGUAUUUGUUAAACUCAUAUACAAACUCGUAUUGUUCAUGACCCUGAAGAGCAGGAUGGAGAGCUCAGGGACGACUGCUCGCAGGAGAGCCGCUCACUUAAAAAUCCUGCUCUUGCAUGGAGACGAUGAUCCUCAAGUACCAUAUGAAACCAGUAUAUGGUACGCUGAGUUUCUGCGAACCUCAGGAUUUUCAGUGGAUUUUAGAACCUUCAACAGACUGCAGCAUUUUUGGACGUACCGUGAGAUGGAUUAUGUCAAGCAGUGGCUCCGCCCUAGGAUCGCAGUGCCCAGACGCCAUGGAAGGCUGUAGUUUAGUACUCCCUCUGUAAACAAAUAUAAGAUCGUUUAGAUUACUAAUAUAGUGAUCUAAACAAUCUGAGAGGCUGUAGUUUAGUAAGUACUAAAGAGGAUGGCAGUAUUGUAUGGCAGUAAGUACUAAAGAGGAUGGCAGCAUUGUAUGGCAGUAAGUACUAAAGAGGAUGGCUGUAUUGUAUGGCAGUAAGUACUAAAGAGGAUGGCGGUAUUGUAUGGCAGUAAGUACUAAAGAGGAUGAACAUUUGCAAUUUCCAGUGAAGCUUGGCAUAGGUGGCUUUGGCAUGGGUGCUGCCGUUGCCCUCUACUCGGCACAGUGCUAUGCCUUGGGAAUAUUUUAUAAUUAGUUACCAUACCGAUUACCCUGGGCUUUGUCAUUGAGUGUAGCAGUUGGCUUCCCUUCACAGGGUCUUAAUCCUUAAUUGGAUUUGAAUCCAGUGACAAAAUCUAAGGUAAUUGACGGUUCAAAUAAUCUAAGGUAAUUGGGUAUGAUAACUGAUCCGGCGCAUCUUACCGACGUCAUCAUGUCAAGAGCCCCAUUAUUAAG
rnacentral:rRNA from 1 species